GUACUGAUGAAGAGCCCCAAAAUAGGACGAAACAGCUGUUCAGUAC
rnacentral:hammerhead_ribozyme from 1 species